rnacentral:rRNA from 1 species
UGGGGAAUAUUGGACAAUGGGCGAAAGCCUGAUCCAGCCAUGCCGCGUGUGUGAAGAAGGUCUUCGGAUUGUAAAGCACUUUAAGUUGGGAGGAAGGGCAUUAACCUAAUACGUUAGUGUUUUGACGUUACCGACAGAAUAAGCACCGGCUAACUUCGUGCCAGCAGCCGCGGUAAUACGAAGGGUGCAAGCGUUAAUCGGAAUUACUGGGCGUAAAGCGCGCGUAGGUGGUUCGUUAAGUUGGAUGUGAAAGCCCCCGGGCUCAACCUGGGAACUGCAUCCAAAAACUGGCGAGCUAGAGUACGGUAGAGGGUGGUGGAAUUUCCUGUGUAGCGGUGAAAUGCGUAGAUAUAGGAAGGAACACCAGUGGCGAAGGCGACCACCUGGACUGAUACUGACACUGAGGUGCGAAAGCGUGGGGAGCAAAACAGGAUUAGAUACCCUGGUAGUCCACGCCGUAAACGAUGUCAACUAGCCGUUGGGUUCCUUGAGAACUUAGUGGCGCAGCUAACGCAUUAAGUUGACCGCCUGGGGAGUACGGCCGCAAGGUUAAAACUCAAAGGAAUUGACGGGGUCAUAGCUGUUUCCUG